GAGCACGUAGGUGGGUUUGUAAGUCAGAGGUGAAAGCCUGGAGCUCAACUCCAGAACUGCCUUUGAGACUGCAUCGCUUGAAUCCAGGAGAGGUGAGUGGAAUUCCGAGUGUAGAGGUGAAAUUCGUAGAUAUUCGGAAGAACACCAGUGGCGAAGGCGGCUCACUGGACUGGUAUUGACGCUGUGGUGCGAAAGCGUGGGGAGCAAACAGGAUUAGAUACCCUGGUAGUCCACGCCGUAAACGAUGAUAACUAGCUGUCCGGGCACUAAGUAGAGGGG
rnacentral:rRNA from 1 species